rnacentral:rRNA from 1 species
GUGCCAGCCGCCGCGGUAAUACAGAGGGGGCGAGCGUUAUUCGGAAUUAUUGGGCGUAAAGGGCGCGUAGGCGGCUGGGCAAGUCCAAGGUGAAAUCCCUCGGCUCAACCGAGGAACUGCCUUGGAAACUGCCCGGCUUGAGGCCGGGAGAGGGUAGUGGAAUUCCCAGUGUAGCGGUGAAAUGCGUAGAUAUUGGGAGGAACACCGGUGGCGAAGGCGGCUACCUGGACCGGUUCUGACGCUGAUGCGCGAAAGCGUGGGGAGCAAACAGGAUUAGAUACCCUGGUAGUCC